GUUUGAUCAGUACAUUGUAAGUGUUAAAAAUCGAAAAUUUUAGCUUUUUAUAAUAUAUUAAUAUUCAGCACUGGAAUUUUAAAAAUUAUUUUUAUCAAAUUUGAUUAAUUUAUUUACCUUUUGACUGAUUGAAAUCCUAAAAAUAAAUAAAUUACAAAGAAAAAGCAUACUAAUUAAGCAAUUAGUUGUAAAUUAAUGCUUAAAAAACAACAACAAUAUCACUAAAUAAUUUAGUUUUAAAAUCACUAAAAUGGAAGAUUUCAAGAACUUUCUUUCUUCAGAUCAAUGAUAAUCAAGACUUUAUCACUUAAAAAAUAAAAAUAUUGAUCUACCAACCAACACCCAGCUGGCCAAUCAUGGCAUCAUAGCUUAGCUAGCUAUGCCAGUGAUGAUUACAUUACCAUUAAGACAAUUUAUUACUAUUAUUUAAUAUUCUAGAUUAUGAUCAAUUCAAU
rnacentral:misc_RNA from 1 species